ACGGAGGAAGCCGAAAAUCUGAUCAAGAGUAGGCA
rnacentral:ncRNA from 1 species